rnacentral:rRNA from 1 species
UACGUAGGGUGCAAGCGUUAAUCGGAAUUACUGGGCGUAAAGCGUGCGCAGGCGGUUUUGUAAGUUUUGUCGUGAAAUCCCCGGGCUCAACCUGGGAAUGGCGAUGAAGACUGCAAGGCUAGAAUCUGGCAGAGGGGGGUAGAAUUCCACGUGUAGCAGUGAAAUGCGUAGAGAUGUGGAGGAACACCGAUGGCGAAGGCAGCCCCCUGGGUCAAGAUUGACGCUCAUGCACGAAAGCGUGGGGAGCAAACAGGG